UACGGAGGGUGCGAGCGUUGUCCGGAAUCAUUGGGCGUAAAGGGCGCGUAGGCGGCUUGGCAAGUGGAAGGUGAAAUCCCUCGGCUUAACCGAGGAACUGCCCUCCAAACUGCUUUGCUUGAGGCCGGGAGAGGUGAGUGGAAUUCCCAGUGUAGCGGUGAAAUGCGUAGAUAUUGGGAGGAACACCAGUGGCGAAGGCGGCUCACUGGACCGGUUCUGACGCUGAGGCGCGAAAGCGUGGGGAGCAAACGGG
rnacentral:rRNA from 1 species